UUGGGCCCCUCAUUGGUGGUGGGCUUGCUGGGCUUAUCUAUGGCAAUGUUUUUUUUCACACAGAGCAUGCACCCUUAGUCAACGAGUAUUGAUAUGGUUGACAAUUGAGUUUGUUGCAUGUGUUCCUUCCUAGCUAGUCCUUUUGCCUUUGUAAUAAAAGAAGGAAGAGCAAGUUUUUGUUCUUGCUUCUUUUUCUUAUCAACUUUCCAAUUAUUUAUUCUCAACUUGGAACCCUGUUUUUAUUGUGCUGUUUGUAAAGGCCAUUUGUAGGUCACUUUUUCCUUGUGAAAAUGAAUGAAGUUGGUGAAGCCAGGCCCCUCUUU
rnacentral:lncRNA from 1 species